rnacentral:rRNA from 1 species
CCUACGGGAGGCUGCAGUGAGGAAUAUUGGUCAAUGGCCGAGAGGCUGAACCAGCCAAGUCGCGUGAGGGAAGACGGCCCUACGGGUUGUAAACCUCUUUUGUCGGGGAGCAAAGCGAGUCACGUGUGACUCAUUGAGAGUACCCGAAGAAAAAGCAUUGGCUAACUCCGUGCCAGCAGCCGCGGUAAUACGGAGGAUGCGAGCGUUAUCCGGAUUUAUUGGGUUUAAAGGGUGCGCAGGCGGAGGUGCAAGUCAGCGGUCAAAUUGCGGGGCUCAACCCCGUACUGCCGUUGAAACUGCAGCCCUUGAGUGCGCGAGAAGUAGGCGGAAUGCGUGGUGUAGCGGUGAAAUGCAUAGAUAUCACGCAGAACUCCGAUUGCGAAGGCAGCAUACCGGCGCGCAACUGACGCUCAUGCACGAAAGCGUGGGUAUCGAACAGGAUUAGAUACCCGAGUAGUC